rnacentral:rRNA from 1 species
UACGGAGGGUGCAAACGUUGCUCGGAAUCAUUGGGCGUAAAGCGCACGUAGGCGGUCCGGCAAGUCGGGUGUGAAAUCCCUCGGCUCAACCGAGGAAGUGCAUUCGAAACUUCCGAACUUGAAUAUGGAAGAGGGUCGCGGAAUUCCCGGUGUAGAGGUGAAAUUCGUAGAUAUCGGGAGGAACACCAGUGGCGAAGGCGGCGACCUGGGCCAAUAUUGACGCUGAGGUGCGAAAGCGUGGGGAGCAAACAGG